UACGUAGGUGGCAAGCGUUGUCCGGAAUUAUUGGGCGUAAAGCGCGCGCAGGCGGUCCUUUAAGUCUGAUGUGAAAGCCCACGGCUCAACCGUGGAGGGUCAUUGGAAACUGGGGGACUUGAGUACAGAAGAGAAGAGUGGAAUUCCACGUGUAGCGGUGAAAUGCGUAGAGAUGUGAAGGAACACCAGUGGCGAAGGCGACUCUUUGGUCUGUAACUGACGCUGAGGCGCGAAAGCGUGGGGAGCAAACAGG
rnacentral:rRNA from 1 species